AAAAGUUUUAUUUUGGCAAGAGUUGGAUCAACCCAGAGCUAUUGCCUUAGAUCCAUCAAGUGGGUAAGUGUAUAAUGUACAAAAGGCACUCCAGUUUCUAUUCCUAGUCUUCCUUGAUUGGUAAAUACCCCUCACUGCUAGGGGACAAAAGAAAGGUAAAGGACUUUUGGGGUUUCAUUGUCAAGUAGACUUGUCUAUGGAAAGUUGAGUUUGUUCUUAAAAGACAGUGUGUAUCCACCAUGUAUUCUCUGUUGGUGGGGGUGCAAAUUAAUAAAACCAGUUUGGAUACUUCUCAAAAAAAUUAAAAGUAGAACAACCAUGUAACCCAGCUAUUUCAUUCCUGGAUGUCUGUCUGGAGAACUACUUACCAUACCUUAAGAGACACUUGUAUGUGUGUGUCUGUAACUGCUUUAUUCACUAUAGUGAAGCAUUGGAAUCAACCCAAAAAUCAACAGAUGGGUUAUGUAUGUAUGUGUAUGUAUGUACACGCACACACACACACACACGUGUGCGCGUGUACAUAUACAGUUCUGCUCUAAAGAAAAGUAAAAUUAAAAUAUUUCCGGAAAAAUGGAUGGUGUAGGUUCAGUAUAAGU
rnacentral:lncRNA from 1 species